UACGUAGGGUGCGAGCGUUGCCCGGAAUUAUUGGGCGUAAAGGGCGCGUAGGCGGCCUGGCAAGUGGAAGGUGAAAUCCCUCGGCUUAACCGAGGAACUGCCUCCCAAACUGCUUGGCUUGAGACCAGGAGAGGUGAGUGGAAUUCCCAGUGUAGCGGUGAAAUGCGUAGAUAUUGGGAGGAACACCAGUGGCGAAGGCGGCUCACUGGACUGGUACUGACGCUGAGGCGCGAAAGCGUGGGGAGCAAACGGG
rnacentral:rRNA from 1 species